CCUACGGGAGGCAGCAGUGAGGAAUAUUGGUCAAUGGACGAGAGUCUGAACCAGCCAAGUAGCGUGAAGGAUGACUGCCCUAUGGGUUGUAAACUUCUUUUAUAUGGGAAUAAAAUGUUCCACGUGUGGGAUUUUGUAUGUACCAUAUGAAUAAGGAUCGGCUAACUCCGGGCCAGCAGCCGCGGUAAUACGGAGGAUCCGAGCGUUAUCCGGAUUUAUUGGGUUUAAAGGGAGCGUAGGUGGAUUGUUAAGUCAGUUGUGAAAGUUUGCGGCUCAACCGUAAAAUUGCAGUUGAAACUGGCAGUCUUGAGUACAGUAGAGGUGGGCGGAAUUCGUGGUGUAGCGGUGAAAUGCUUAGAUAUUACGAAGAACUCCGAUGGCGAAGGCAGUUCACUGGACUGCAACUGACACUGAGGCUCGAAAGUGUGGGUAUCAAACAGGAUUAGAUACCCUUGUAGUC
rnacentral:rRNA from 1 species